GAUGAACGCUGGCGGCGUGCCUAAUACAUGCAAGUCGAGCGAACAGAUGAGGAGCUUGCUCCUCUGACGUUAGCGGCGGACGGGUGAGUAACACGUGGAUAACCUACCUAUAAGACUGGGAUAACUUCGGGAAACCGGAGCUAAUACCGGAUAAUAUAUUGAACCGCAUGGUUCAAUAGUGAAGGACGGUUUUGCUGUCACUUAUAGAUGGAUCCGCGCCGCAUUAGCUAGUUGGUAAGGUAACGGCUUACCAAGGCAACGAUGCGUAGCCGACCUGAGAGGGUGAUCGGCCACACUGGAACUGAGACACGGUCCAGACUCCUACGGGAGGCAGCAGUAGGGAAUCUUCCGCAAUGGGCGAAAGCCUGACGGAGCAACGCCGCGUGAGUGAUGAAGGUCUUCGGAUCGUAAAACGCUGUUAUUAGGGAAGAACAAAUGUGUAAGUAACGAUGCACGUCUUGACGGUACCUAAUCAGAAAGCCACGGCUAACUACGU
rnacentral:rRNA from 1 species